AACCUUAUGGACCUGCGGGCGUAUACCUGCGGAAGGAUCAUUACCUAGAGUUGUAGGCUUUGCCUGCUAUCUCUUACCCAUGUCUUUUGAGUACUUACGUUUCCUCGGCGGGUCCGCCCGCCGAUUGGACAAUUUAAACCAUUUGCAGUUGCAAUCAGCGUCUGAAAAAACUUUAAUAGUUACAACUUUUAACAAUGGAUCU
rnacentral:misc_RNA from 1 species